rnacentral:lncRNA from 1 species
GCAGGAAAUGCGUGAUCUCCGGGAUGGUCACGGGGUCCCGCGCAGCCAAUCCCCUCGCAGCUAAGUUGCCAGGCAACGCCCUGGCGCCUGCGGGGCGGGCGGGGUCUGGGAGCCUGGAGGAAGCGAGAGCUUUGGCGCAGGCCGCCUGCGCGCUGUGCCAGGAAGGCGCUUGGAGAAAAUGUCCGGCCCCGCGACCUGGGACAGGAAGUGAUGGAGCACGGACUUAGUUUGCCUUUCAGUUCUUGUAUAAAUAGUUUUGAGGUUUAACCUGCGCCCCCGCGCUCUGCAUCAGCGCGGCCCUCGACCCCGUGCAGCUGGAAACACUGGGC